AUACGGAGGAUGCGAGCGUUAUCCGGAUUCAUUGGGUAUAAAGGGUGCGUAGGCGGCCCCCCAAGUCAGCGGUGAAAUGUCCGGGCCCAACCCGGAGGGUGCCGUUGAUACUGCGGGGCUGGAGUACGGACGCCGGCGGAGGAAUGAGUGGUGUAGCGGUGAAAUGCAUAGAUAUCACUCAGAACACCGAUUGCGAAGGCACCCGCCGAGGCCGUUACUGACGCUGAGGCACGAAAGCGUGGGGAUAGAACAGGAUUAGAUACCCUGGUAUUCCACGCCGUAAACGAUGAUGACUAACCGCCGGGCGGAAUGACGUCCGGCAGCCAAGCGAAAGCGAUAAGUCAUCCACCUGGGGAGUACGGCCGCAAGGCUGAAACUCAAAGGAAUUGGCGGGG
rnacentral:rRNA from 1 species